AUGCCUACCGCUCUGCUUCCCCCUGCUCAGGCGACCGCAUCGGCGGCGGCGACCUCGCCGGCCGUGCGUGGCUCCUUCCUCGCCUGCUGGUCCAUGCCACUGCCCCCGCCACCGUCGCUGGCUAAGUGGCCAGCUGCUCCAUCUCCUCUGGCCAUUCUGCAGCGGCUGCCUGACGUCGCGCCAUCCCUCGGCUCAGAUCUGGAUCCGCCGCCCCGCCAGCCUGCCCCAGCCGUCGCAUCAGGCUCGGGCGUCGAGGAGGAGGUGGCUGCUUCUCCGUUGGUCGCGCAGCAUGGGCUGCUGGCUCAGGCCGCGGUGUGUGAGUCCUCGCGCUCUCUGCUUGCCCAGGGCAUUCAAGGCGAUGCGGGCUCCUCGCGCUCUUUGCUUGCCCAGGGCAUUCAAGGCGAGGCGGGCGUCAACCGCGGUGGGCAGCCUGCUGCUGCGGGGCAUUCAAGCCCGGGUGCGGGGGGCGAGGAGGAGGCUGAUGUGACCGGCGGCUGGUAG
rnacentral:rRNA from 1 species